ensembl:lncRNA
AUUUGCUGGCAUAUUGAGGGCUGCACUUUCAGAUUAUGAACUCCUUAUUGCCAAAUUCAGACUGAAAUUGAAGAAAGUGGAGAAAACCACUAGACCAUUCAGGUAUGACCUAAAUCAAAUCCUUAUGACUAUACCAUGGAAGUAAGAAAUAGAUUUAAGGGAUUAGAUCUGAUAGAGUGCCUGAUUAACUAUGGAUGGAGCUUCGUGACACUGUACAGGAAUCAGGAGUCAAGACCAUCCCCAAGAAAAAGAAAUUUUAAAAAGCAAAAUGACUGUCUAAGGAGCCCUUACAAAUAGCUGUGGAAAGAAAGGAAGCAAAAAGCAAAGGAGAAAAGGGAAGACAUCCAUUUGAAUGUAGAGUUCAAAGAAUAGCAAGGAGAGAUAAGAAAGCCUUCCUCAGCGAUCAAUGCAAAGAAAUAGAGAAAAACAACAGAAUGGGAAAGACUAGAGAUCUCUUGAAGAAAAUUAGAGAUACCAAAGGAAACUUUCAUACAAAGAUGGGCUCAAUAAAGGAUAGAAAUGGUAGGGAACUAACAGAAGCAGAAGAUAUAAGAAGAGGCAGCAAGAAUACACAGAAGAACUAUACAAAAAAGAUCUCUACGACCCAGAUAAUCACGUUGGUGUGAUCACUCACCUAGAGCCAGACAUCCUGGAAUGUGAAGUCAAGUGGGCCUUAGGAAGCAUAACUAUGAACAAAGCUAGUGGAGGUGAUGGAAUUCCAGUUGAGCUAUUUGAACUCCCCAAAAAAACGAAAUGCAAAACAGCAAAAUGUCUGAGGAGGCCUUACAAAUAGCUGUGAAAAGAAGAGAAGGGGAAAGCAAAGGGGAAAAGGAAAGAUAUACCUAUUUGAAUGCAGAGUUCCAAAGAAUAGCAAGGAGAGAUAAGAAAGCCUUCCUCACUGAUCAAUGUGAAGAAAUAGAGGAAAACAAUAGAAUGGGAAGGACUAGAGAUCUCUUCAAGAAAAUUAGAGCUACCAAGGGAAAGUUUCAUGCAAAGAUGGGCUCAAUGAAAGAAAUGGUAUAGACGUAACAGAGGCAGAAGAUAUUAAGAAAAGGUGUAACCUUGGCAAGAAUACACAGAAAAACUGUACAAAAAAGAUCUUCACAACCCAGAUAACCAUGAUGGUGUGGUCACUCACCUAGAGCCAGACAUCCUGGAAUGCGA